UCUUUACCGCACUCACCUUCAUCCUCUCAAAAUCAUGAAUUACAGGAGUGGAGGCGUGGAGCCCUAAACUGGUUGAAGCCGAUUAGAAAUCGACUGAUGAAGGAGAAGGAAUCGACUGAUGAAGAAUCUCUCUAUGAUAAUCAUGAUAAACCCUAAGUGUGCGAUUGAAGCCGUUUGAAGGAGAAGGAGAAGGAGAAGGAAGUAGGAGAAGAAUCGCCGAAUCGCCCUUUGAAAAUCGUGAGGAACCCUAAGUGCGAUUGAAGCCGUUUGAAGGAGAAGGAGAAGGAUCGCCGAAUCGCCCUUUAAAAUCGUGAGGAACCCUUAAAUUUCUUGCGAUUUGGUGCCCAACUCUUCAGGCAAUUUUGAUGAGUUUGAAAACAGAGGAAGGAGUUGUAGUUGUCGUAUAAUUCCUAAGCCCCAGCAGCAGACCAAUCUUGACAGCCGCAGCAGACCAAUCAUUUGGAAGAUUGAGGGUUAUGAUGUCUCUGGUUUGAUCUCCAUAAGCCAAAUAACCAAAGAACCCAAACAACACAUAGACGAGCGUUAUCCCUAAGAAAGCUAUCCCAAGCACCCAUGGAAAUCUCUUCCUUUCUCUCAUAGACCUCUCCAAAGCCAAUGUCAUACCAACACCCUCAAAAAAAAACACAGCAACGCCCCCGGCGAAUGGCGACGCUGCAAGGCUUGUAAUCAUUUUUCUUUCAGAAAAUCCGUCGAACAGUUGGAGAUCUUGCUUCAUAACAACCGCCAUUGCCAGUAUAUUACAUAUAUCAGCGAAGAUACUAAAAUGGGCGAGAGCAGAGAGGGAACGAAUCCAAGAGAGAGCAAUUUCGAUUGGGACAAGAAGGAAUAUAAACGAAGAGAAGCUGAGGUUGUGGGUUCUGAAUAGAUGACAAAUUCUGACCUAUGAAGAUAAGCUACAGCACCUCCGAAUUGCGAGACUACAAUGAGGGAUUCGGUGAAGUACCAACCUGAUCUUCCGAAUGCUUUGUAACCCAGAUACCCAUGUGUGAAUUUCAUCGCAUUCAUCACCAGAUGAUGAUAAGGUAGAAGCUAAUCUGCUCCUGCAAUGAACUAGGAGAAGCAUACAGUAAUAAGUGGAGAUGCCUGCGACGGUUACUCCUAGAGCUCCUGCGAGCCAACCUGCAACCUUGAAAGCAUAAGCCUAAGGCACCUGUGCCGAUGAUGGCAACUAUGAUGUUUCCAAACGUUUGAGCCCACGAAGAGGUCCCUGCAGCAGAAUUUCCAAGGAGAGGAACCUCUCCUGCUUCCUUCGCCAUCACUGACAGAGACACAAGUUGAGAGCCGGCACUCCGACACAAUAAGAUAGUUAACUAAAGCCUAAUAACUCAUUAUGGAGAUCUUUCUCAAUAGGAAUCCAUCCAAUCAAGUCUGCUAAUUAACACACAUCCACUGAUCUAAACUCUUACAUGAUGCUAGUUCAGACAUGACGAAACCAUUGCAUUACUCCCACUUGAGAUUCUCAUGACCUGUGCAUCCGUAUGAGAUUCUCAUUAAAACGGUAUAGUAAUUGUAUUAGGUAUGAGUUGGUUCAGAUAAGUAGGUUCUAGUUCACUCCCUACUUAGAAAUGGUAUCUGGGACCCAAGACGCACGUUUUCUUUUUAUUGAUCUUUUCCCUGCGUGGGCUGAGCUUUUAGGCAUUUGUAGACUUGUAGCAAUGGUUUGGAAGGCUAAUCAAUUGGGUUCUUUCUCAUUAAAAUCAGCUGGGGACCCUUUGAUGGAGCUUUCUUCU